GCGUGCCCAUGCAUCCUGGCCUCUGCCCGAACCGACCCUGGCGUACUUCCCCAACGCCAGGUUCACACGUUCGGACAGGGACCAGACUGCAUUGGUCGCGGCCC
rfam:Mycobacterium sp. 1164966.3 contig_31, whole genome shotgun sequence.